rnacentral:rRNA from 1 species
GUCCACACAGUAAACGAUGAAUACUCGCUGUUUGCGAUAUACAGUAAGCGGCCAAGCGAAAGCAUUAAGUAUUCCACCUGGGGAGUACGCCGGCAACGGUGAAACUCAAAGGAAUUGACGGGGGCCCGCACAAGCGGUGGAGCAUGUGGUUUAAUUCGAUGAUACGCGAGGAACCUUACCUACUCUUGACAUCUAGCGAAGACUGCAGAGAUGCGGUUGUGCCUUUCGGGAACGCUAAGACAGGUGCUGCAUGGCUGUCGU